UACGGGGGGGGCAAGCGUUGUUCGGAAUUACUGGGCGUAAAGGGCUCGUAGGUGGCCAACUAAGUCAGACGUGAAAUCCCCAGGCUCAACUUGGGAACUGCGUCUGAAACUGGAUGGCUUGAGUUCGGUAGAGGGAUGCAGAAUUCCAGGUGUAGCGGUGAAAUGCGUAGAUAUCUGGAGGAAUACCGGUGGCGAAGGCGGCAUCCUGGACCGAGAUUGACACUGAUGAGCGAAAGCGAGGGGAGCAAACGGG
rnacentral:rRNA from 1 species